CAAAGGGAGCAAUCCCGGCCACGGAUGGGCAUGCGGCGCAUUAGCUAGUCGGCGGGGUAACGGCCCACCGAGGCGACGAUGCGUAGGGGUUCUGAGAGGAAGGCCCCCCACACUGGUACUGAGACACGGACCAGACUCCUACGGGAGGCAGCAGUGAGGAAUAUUGGUCAAUGGGCGCGAGCCUGAACCAGCCAAGUCGCGUGAGGGAGGACGGCCCUACGGGUUGUAAACCUCUUUUGCCGGGGAGCAACGGGCGCCACGUGUGGCGCCACUGAGAGUACCCGGAGAAAAAGCAUCGGCUAACUCCGUGCCAGCAGCCGCGGUAAUACGGAGGAUGCGAGCGUUAUCCGGAUUUAUUGGGUUUAAAGGGUGCGUAGGCGGAUCGUUAAGUCAGUGGUCAAAUUGAGGGGCUCAACCCCUUCCCGCCAUUGAAACUGGCGAUCUUGAGUGGAAGAGAAGUAUGCGGAAUGCGUGGUGUAGCGGUGAAAUGCAUAGAUAUCACGCAGAACCCCGAUUGCGAAGGCAGCAUGCCGGCUUCCGACUGACGCUGAAGCACGAAAGCGUGGGGAUCGAACAGGAUUAGAUACCCUGGUAGUCCACGCGGUAAACGAUG
rnacentral:rRNA from 1 species